rnacentral:rRNA from 1 species
UGCGUAGGUGGCAAGCGUUAUCCGGAAUUAUUGGGCGUAAAGCGCGCGCAGGUGGUUUCUUAAGUCUGAUGUGAAAGCCCACGGCUCAACCGUGGAGGGUCAUUGGAAACUGGGAGACUUGAGUGCAGAAGAGGAAAGUGGAAUUCCAUGUGUAGCGGUGAAAUGCGUAGAGAUAUGGAGGAACACCAGUGGCGAAGGCGACUUUCUGGUCUGUAACUGACACUGAGGCGCGAAAGCGUGGGGAGCAAACAGG